AUGUCUCACUUGUCCCUAAUUCGUACAUUUCUCCUAACAAACAGUUCCACGGAAGUUAUGGCCGGCGAGUUUAAACACAGGAAAAGCAAAACUUUAUUAAGCUCCAGGCCCUGCUUCUCCCGGGAUCAAGUCGUGGGAAGAGGCUGUGGCCCCGUGCGCGUUCCGUUGGGCGGUCCUGGCCACUGUUGCAUCAGUGAGAAUAGUCUUGUUGUGCCCUGCAUUGCAGCAGCUGAAUCAAGGUAGGAGGUAUAGUUUUUCUUUUCACCCAUAGCAGGAAGGGUUGAGGCUAGAGAGUUAUCUGAAU
rnacentral:lncRNA from 1 species